rnacentral:rRNA from 1 species
GACGAACCGAGCGAACGUUGUUCGGAAUCACUGGGCUUAAAGGGCGCGUAGGCGGGUGCUCAAGUCCGGGGUGAAAUCCUCCAGCUCAACUGGAGAACUGCCUCGGAUACUGGGUGCCUCGAGUGUGGUAGGGGUGUGCGGAACUAUCGGUGGAGCGGUGAAAUGCGUUGAUAUCGAUAGGAACUCCGGUGGCGAAGGCGGCACACUGGACCACAACUGACGCUGAAGCGACGGAAAGCCAGGGGAGCAAACGGG